rnacentral:sRNA from 1 species
AGCAGCCGCGGUAAUUCCAGCUCCAAUAGCGUAUAUUAAAGUUGUUGCAGUUAAAAAGCUCGUAGUUGAAUUUCGGGGUCAGUAGGUUGGUCGUGCCACAGGUAUGAACUGGUCUCACUGAUUCCUCCUUCCUGAUGAACCGUAAUGCCAUUAAUUUGGUGUUGCGGGGAGACUGGACUGUUACUUUGAAAAAUUAGAGUGUUUAAAGCAGGCUAACGCUUGAAUACAUUAGCAUGGAAUAAUGAAAUAGGACGUUCGGUCUUAUUUUGUUGGUUUCUAAGAUUGACGUAAUGAUUAAUAGGGAUAGUUGGGGGCAUUAGUAUUCAAUUGUCAGAGGUGAAAUUCUUGGAUUUAUUGAAGACUAACUACUGCGAAAGCAUUUGCCAAGGAUGUUUUCAUUAAUCAAGAACGAAAGUUAGGGGAUCGAAGACGAUCAGAUACCGUCGUAGUCUUAACCAUAAACUAUG